CAUGAAUUAGAGUGUUGAAUGUGAAUGAAUCGGGCUGAUAUCCCAUUUCCACCAUCUGACCAACAAGAGAUACGGCAUCUGAAAUCCUAUUCCCGUGACAGAAACCAUUGAGCAGAGAGUUAAGCGUGACAAUAUCGGGCUCAUAGCCGAGUUUCAUCAUCUUGGCAAGAACAGCUAAAGCAAGAGAGAGCUGAGAGCGUCGGCAGAAACAGUUGAUGAGAAUACUGUAUGUGUAAAGAUUAUGUGAAAUUCCCAAAUUUUGCAUCUGCUCGCCGAGAGAGAUGACAAGAUCGAACUUGUUCAUCUUAGCAAUGGCACUCAACAGUUUACUGAACUCAACAAUCGAAGGGAAAGGACGAGACUUGACCAUGUCACCGAACAGAUUAACCGCAUCAUCUAGCUUCAAAUCAUUUAGCCUAUUUAUCGAUAUUUUUCUGUAAUCAUAUCU